rnacentral:rRNA from 1 species
UACGUAGGGAGCAAGCGUUGUCCGGAAUCAUUGGGCGUAAAGCGCGCGUAGGUGGCUUCGUAAGUCCGUUGUGAAAGUCAAAGGCUCAACCUUUGAAAGCCGAUGGAUACUGCGGAGCUAGAGUACGGAAGAGGCGAGUGGAAUUCCUGGUGUAGCGGUGGAAUGCGCAGAUAUCAGGAAGAACACCCGUGGCGAAGGCGGCUCUCUGGGCCUUACCUGACACUGAGGAGCGAAAGCGUGGGGAGCAAACAGG